rnacentral:misc_RNA from 1 species
GUAGGUGAACCUGCGGAAGGAUCAUUACAAAUCCAUCCACGUCUCAGUCUUGAGACCACGUUGAAAUGUUCCCUAGUGUUGUGUGUCUCUCUCGGCAUGCGCGCACGGCCGUCUUUUUACGGGCAGUCGUCGCGUCGUCUUGUGGGUGUGGCGGCACUAGGCUUGGUAAACUAGUAUUAUCUGUUGCUCAAUUGUAUCUUUCUUGAUUGUAAUGAUCAGGGUAAACAAAGUACAACUUAUAACAAUGGAU